AUGCAGGAGUGCCCAUAAUCUGCCCUUCCUGUUUGUUUGUCUGUCUGUCUGAUCAGUCUGAUCUGUGAGGAGUAAAAAACUGGCCUUCCUGUUGGUCACCUGUGGCCUGAGCUAGUGUUUGCCUCUAUUUCCCAGCAUCCCCUGUCUAGGUGAACGUGCAUCCGGGAUUGUGAGGGCUGUGGUUUUGGCUGCUGUCUGCAUUUCCGUGGCUGUGGUCUGGGGCGUGUACCGGAACGAGGACAGAUGGAUCUGGGUUCUGCAAGAUCUGCUCGGUAUGGCAUUUUGUAUAAACUUCAUGAAGACCAUCACUGUCUCCAACUUCAAGAUUUGCGUCAUCCUGCUGAGCCUCCUGCUUGUGUACGAUGUCUUCUUUGUUUUCAUCACCCCUUUAUUCACCAAGGUGAGUCUGCCUCAGCAUUCACACAUGGUCCACUUUCAUUCCAAGGGUUUUUCAAAUUUUCCAGACUGACUUCUAUUUACUCUGAAGGGAGAACCUGAGCGC